rnacentral:lncRNA from 1 species
GUAAACAUAAACUCAAAAACGAAAUCAAAGUAUGUAAACAUGAUUCAAAUCAAAAAGUUACUAAGAAUAAACCAAAAUUGUCUUGAUUCUCUUCACAAUUGAAUGUAGGGUUGAUUCUUCAGUUCCUCACGACCUAGCAGCACUUCCAAUCGUUUCUCAGCCUCCUAGGGUUUCUCUCCAUGCUAUGGUAUCGAUCUGAAAGUCCCUUUAUAUAGAUUUUCACAAAACAGAUGCUACUCGGUGAGUCCAGUGACCUACUCGCCGAGUACAUCACUUAAAACCCGUGUACGGCAAGUCAGCGCGUCCAGAAUCGCGAAAGUUCGAUACAACUCGCCGAGUAAUCGACCCUACUCGCCGAGUACGUUUCGAAUCAGCAUUUUCUCAAAACACGAAAGUCGUCCGAAAUUGUGUCUACUUUUCAGAACAUUUUGAAUCUCGUCAAUCGGAGUUACGGUUCAUGAGAUAUGGCCAAAACACUGACGAGGGGUCAAGCUGUCCAGCAACAUCCUUCUUUCUUCAAAAUCCAAGAUCCAAGCUUCCAAUCGCUAGUUCCGCUUCCUUUUCCAUCCGAGCAUGUAAUUGUUGCUGAAAAAUGAAAUUAUAAACUAAUUAAGCACCUUUUGUUCAUUAAAUGAGAUAAAAUCAACAUAAAGUAUUAAGAUAAUGCAUGAAUUUUAUAACUAAAUAUGCCCAUAUCAAAAUACCCCACACUUGACUUUUGCUUGCCCCCAAGCAAAACUGAAUUUUAGUACACUAAUAUUACAUAAGACAAUCCCAAUCGAACCCAGCCAUUAUGCCAAGACCGCAACGCAUGCAUUUGUGUCUAAAAUUUUCCUAAUAACCCCCCAUACUCCAAAUACUCACAAUCCUCAUAAACAUUCGCCCACUUUUUCCGAACAAUGCUCAUUUUAUGCAUCCCUCCGAAUCCAUCCUCAGAAAACCUCUUAACCUCAAGGUAUUUUUGGUUGAGCAACCCAAGCAUACAUAAUCUAGACAAUUACAAUUUAUGAUACCACUAUGGAGCCCUUUUGAAUUCUUCACUUCCUUGAUAAUUUGAUCUUUGAUCUCUUUGAAUUCACCACCUUUAUUGUUUGAUUUUUGGUAUCUUCAACUUUUUGAAUCUUCGGAAUUUUGAUCUUUUGAUCUUCACUUUGAUUGCUCCAAAAUUCUUACAACUUUUCUUGCAAUUCUCUCUCUCUUUUUUUUACAUGUACCUUUCUUUUUUCACUCAAAAACCUACAUGCUUAAGCAGGGGCGCUCAACUUCAACCUUUAUUGGUUAACGAUAAUAAUUUUCCUGGAUACAUUUCUGGUACACGAUGCUAAACAUAUUGCAUCCUUCAAACUAAGCGAGGUCAUGUUUUUGUCCCAUGAUUUCACUAGAAUAAGGAAGCCACAAAUGCACUAGAACGUAUAUAGGCUCAACUAAACAUUUGGGUCUUCAUGCAAUCAUCAAAUAUAAUACUAGCAUGAUCCCUAAUUGCUUUACCAAAAUUUUCUAAAUUAGCCCUAGCAAUUUUAAUGCAAAAAUUUCAAAAUUAACUAAAAUUUCAAGAUUUUCGAAUUUUAACUAAAAUUUUAACUAAUUUAACCAACCCCCUACCCCACACUUAAUUUAUGCAAUGUCCUCAUUGCAUAUUAUGCAUGAUAAAGAACAAUAAAAAUAAGAAGAGAAUUGGAACAAACUCCCCUGGGAUAGUAGUGGCGAGGUUGAUAUCUCUUCUCUUCAGCUCCAUCUUCAAUUGACUUUAGACAUGGGAACAGCUCAUCCAUGUCUUGGGUGUCAAAGUCUCGUGUGGUAUAGCCUUUAUAAAAGCUCCAAAUAUAAGGGAAAAACUCUUGGAAAUGCUCGGAAAAUGAUCUUCAAAGAAUAGAACCAAUGCCCAUAUCAAAUGUCAUCAAAUCUUCAGCUCAAAAGUAAGAAGAAUGAGCGACUCGUCGAGUAAGUAUGUAGACUCGCCGAGUUGAAGCGUAAAUAGCAGAAGAAUCGUGAAUUUUCACAUGGACUCGGCGAGUCCAUAAGAUGCACUUGGUGAGUAGACCGCUGUGUGACAAAAAAUUUAUUCUACCCAAGUCCGUUUCUGAUGUAUGGGGGUUAUAUAAACGAAUAAUUUCCCUCAUUUUUCUUCAGGGAAUAAACACUCUAUAACCCUUCUAUCAAUUGGACUCAUAGCUUGACUCAAAACUUCGUUUCCUCUCUCGCCUAGACUCGAUUUCUCGCUUCGUCAGCCUUGACUCUAGACCCUCACAUGCAUCCUUACACUCAAACUGAAAAGAUCAAAAACAAAAACCAAGUAAUAAAAAAAAACAUUAAAAAUAAAAAAAAUCCUAAAUUAUCCUUAAACACGAAAAGUUUAGAACGAAAAAGAAAAGAAAACUCUAAUGACGGGUUGCCUCCCGCAAGCGCUUCUUUUUGUGCGAGUCUUGAGCUGGACUCCCAACUUAAUAAACUUCCAAUAAACUCAUUGCCAAUCCAUCCGUUGCAUUAAAUAUUUUCUUUGGUGGACCAAUUUGUAAAAUUUGACUCUUUGCUUCUAAAAUUGGCCAAACGAGCUUUAAUACAUAAAACCCAAGAAUUCUGACAAGGGUUGGGACCGGUCGGGUACUAAUUAGAAAUGGAUCGCGCUUCAGAACUUUCUCCAAAGUUGGAAUCGUCACCCCAUGCUUCGAAACACAAACCGGAAGAACAGGGGACCAUGUCAUGGUAAUGGUCAAACCACAACUUGGUUCCUGCAAUUCAGCUUGUUCUUGUUCUUCGUCUGACCUCUCUGCUAGCAACCUUUGCAGCUCCUCCAAGUCUCUUUCUGGAUUAAAUUCAUCAUCUUGUAAAUCUAGCUCUUGUGACUCAGAUUGUUCUUGAUCGUUAGACAAGAUGAUAUCUAACCAUCUAUCAAAUUUCUUCAAAUCUUCAUCCGAGUCAUAAUCCUCAUCUUCCUGCACUACUUCCUCAAGAAAAGCAUCAAAAGCAUCGAGAUUUGGAAAAUACAUAAUAAAAAAUAAAGAUAAAAAUUAAACUAAAUAAAAAAAAUAAUCAAUAAAAUAAAACCGAUAACAAUUAGCAAAUAAAAUUAACUAUUUGAACCGUUCCCCGGCAACGGCGCCAAAACCAUGAUGUGUGUGAAACAAACUAGUUUUAAUCCUACUAACUUAGACACAAAAUAAACACACGAAAGGCAGUGUACCUAUCGAUUAGUAAUAUAGUUCAAGCAAGUAGGGUAUCGAACACAGGGAACGGUAAACAAUUAAAAUAAAUGCUAAUAUUAUCUAAAUAAAACAAGUAAUAGAAAGGGGGUUUUCUCUAGUUUUGCAAGACUAGAAACUUAAACAAUUAACUAAAACUUAAACUAAGAAACUAAGAGCUAAGCAAAUAAAAAUCAACUAAAUUCAAUAAUAAAGAGGACUUCUGUUUAGUUCGACUCAUUUGUUCCCAUGGAUGAUUUCAAUGUAUCGGAUUAAUUCUUCAUUGGCUACCGACUAAGAUGAUUAGUUUCAUGUUCGCUAUUACUAAUCCUUAGGAAACAAAUUAACUCAAGCAGUGGCCAGUUGUCUAAAUUAACGGAUUUCCUAGUUAUUAAUUCGGGUUAAAUAAGACUUGUAAUGGUUAAUUAAAUUGGCCCUUCAAUUAACCUCUUGCUGAUGUUCAUCAAACAAGCUCACACAUUAACUUACCUAUCUUCUAGUUAAUUCUAGUUUCACAUUCGUUAUUCCUAGACAUACAACUAUGUGGUCACAAUAAAUCAUAUGAAAUUAAUAACUAAGAGAUGUUCAUACAACUUAAUUACUGAUUUAUUAACAGAAGAAUAGUUAUUGUCAACACAUAAGGUUCUUUAACAAGCUUAACUAAACAUAAUUACCAAUUAAAAUUAAUCCUACUCAAAUAAUCAAUCCAUGUUCACAAAAUUGUCUACCCUAACAGAAGAAUAAGUUUUUAGCUCAUGAUUGCAGUAAACAUAAACUCAAAAACGAAAUCAAAGUAUGUAAACAUGAUUCAAAUCAAAAAGUUACUAAGAAUAAACCAAAAUUGUCUUGAUUCUCUUCACAAUUGAAUGUAGGGUUGAUUCUUCAGUUCCUCACGACCUAGCAGCACUUCCAAUCGUUUCUCAGCCUCCUAGGGUUUCUCUCCAUCCUAUGAUAUCGAUCUGAAAGUCCCUUUAUAUAGAUUUUCACAAAAC